CAGACUCGUAUUAACUCCCCAGAUGGGCA
rnacentral:piRNA from 1 species